UACGAAGGGGGCUAGCGUUGCUCGGAAUUACUGGGCGUAAAGCGCACGUAGGCGGUCUUUUAAGUCGGGGGUGAAAUCCUGGAGCUCAACUCCAGAACUGCCUUCGAUACUGGAAGACUACGAGUUCGGGAAGAGGCGAGUGGAAUUCCCGGGUGUAGCGGUGAAAUGCGCAGAUAUCGGGAGGAACACCUAUGGCGAAGGCAGCUCGCUGGGACGUUACUGACGCUGAGACGCGAAAGCGUGGGGAGCAAACAGG
rnacentral:rRNA from 1 species